CUUCCAGUAGCACCUUAGAGACCAACUACGUUUGUUAUUGGUAUGAGCUUUCGUGUGCAUGUGUUGGUCUCUAAGGUGCUACUGGAAG